rnacentral:rRNA from 1 species
AUGAACGCUAGCUACAGGCUUAACACAUGCAAGUCGAGGGGCAGCAUGGUCUUAGCUUGCUAAGGCCGAUGGCGACCGGCGCACGGGUGAGUAACACGUAUCCAACCUGCCGUCUACUCUUGGACAGCCUUCUGAAAGGAAGAUUAAUACAAGAUGGCAUCAUGAGUCCACAUGUUCACAUGAUUAAAGGUAUUCCGGUAGACGAUGGGGAUGCGUUCCAUUAGAUAGUAGGCGGGGUAACGGCCCACCUAGUCUUCGAUGGAUAGGGGUUCUGAGAGGAAGGUCCCCCACAUUGGAACUGAGACACGGUCCAAACUCCUACGGGAGGCAGCAGUGAGGAAUAUUGGUCAAUGGGCGAGAGCCUGAACCAGCCAAGUAGCGUGAAGGAUGACUGCCCUAUGGGUUGUAAACUUCUUUUAUAAAGGAAUAAAGUCGGGUAUGCAUACCCGUUUGCAUGUACUUUAUGAAUAAGGAUCGGCUAACUCCGUGCCAGCAGCCGCGGUAAUACGGAGGAUCCGAGCGUUAUCCGGAUUUAUUGGGUUUAAAGGGAGCGUAGAUGGAUGUUUAAGUCAGUUGUGAAAGUUUGCGGCUCAACCGUAAAAUUGCAGUUGAUACUGGAUAUCUUGAGUGCAGUUGAGGCAGGCGGAAUUCGUGGUGUAGCGGUGAAAUGCUUAGAUAUCACGAAGAACUCCGAUUGCGAAGGCAGCCUGCUAAGCUGCAACUGACAUUGAGGCUCGAAAGUGUGGGUAUCAAACAGGAUUAGAUACCCUGGUAGUCCACACGGUAAACGAUGAAUACUCGCUGUUUGCGAUAUACAGCAAGCGGCCAAGCGAAAGCGUUAAGUAUUCCACCUGGGGAGUACGCCGGCAACGGUGAAACUCAAAGGAAUUGACGGGGGCCCGCACAAGCGGAGGAACAUGUGGUUUAAUUCGAUGAUACGCGAGGAACCUUACCCGGGCUUAAAUUGCAGAUGAAUUACGGUGAAGGCCGUAAGCCGCAAGGCAUCUGUGAAGGUGCUGCAUGGUUGUCGUCAGCUCGUGCCGUGAGGUGUCGGCUUAAGUGCCAUAACGAGCGCAACCCUUGUUGUCAGUUACUAACAGGUUCCGCUGAGGACUCUGACAAGACUGCCAUCGUAAGAUGUGAGGAAGGUGGGGAUGACGUCAAAUCAGCACGGCCCUUACGUCCGGGGCUACACACGUGUUACAAUGGGGGGGUACAGAGGGCCGCUACCACGCGAGUGGAUGCCAAUCCCAAAAACCUCUCUCAGUUCGGACUGGAGUCUGCAACCCGACUCCACGAAGCUGGAUUCGCUAGUAAUCGCGCAUCAGCCACGGCGCGGUGAAUACGUUCCCGGGCCUUGUACACACCGCCCGUCAAGCCAUGGGAGCCGGGGGUACCUGAAGUGCGUAACCGCGAGGAGCGCCCUAGGGUAAAACUGGUGACUGGGGCU